rnacentral:lncRNA from 1 species
CUCGGGGCCUGACUCAUGUGUUCCAUUCAUUUCAUUCAUUUGUGUGUUAAACAAGUGAGUCUUACAUCUCAGCCAGAUGUCAGGCCCUGUGCCUGGUGCCAAGGAUGUAGAGGAGGAGAAGACAGGGUCCCCGAAGAAACUGUCAAAUUGGCCAGCAUCUCCGACCACUUGGCACACAGUAGGUGUUCAAUCAAUGAAUAUCACGUGAAUGACUGGAACAGACAAAGAAAAGAAUUCAACUCAAAGGCUUGAAACUAAGGCAAAGCUUGGCUCCUCUGGGGUCCAACAUCCUUAGCUUUUCUUCUGAGAGCAAUAAACCCUAAAAGGGUCUGACCCUUGGCAAAGGUCUUCAUGCCCCUGUGGCCUUUUAAUCUCACAGCAGCCCAGGGAGAAGAGUGAGGCAGACACAACUGUCCCUGCUCAUCAAUGAGGAAACUCGUUCUUUGAGAGGAAAUGAAGUGCCCAUGGCACCCACUGGUCUUGCCAGGAGAACUCAAGUCUCCCUUCUCUGAGGCUCAGCUCGAGCUCACCUCCCUGCUGCAGGACGAGAAGGCACUUUGCUACCCAGGACGUACAGUGCACGUUGGGACAUUCAGCUGAG